rfam:Ovis aries breed Texel chromosome 9, whole genome shotgun sequence.
UCCCUGGUGGCUCAGAGGGUAAAAUGUCUGCCUACAAUGCAGGAGACCUGGGUUCAAUCCCUGGCUUGGGAC